AACCUGCCCAAGAGAUCGGGAUAACACCUGGAAACAGAUGCUAAUACCGGAUAACAAUAGAUGAUGCCUAUCAACUGUUUAAAAGAUGGUUCUGCUAUCACUCUUGGAUGGACCUGCGGUGCAUUAGUUAGUUGGUAGGGUAACGGCCUACCAAGGCGAUGAUGCAUAGCCGAGUUGAGAGACUGAUCGGCCACAUUGGGACUGAGACACGGCCCAAACUCCUACGGGAGGCAGCAGAG
rnacentral:rRNA from 1 species